rnacentral:rRNA from 1 species
CCUACGGGAGGCAGCAGUGAGGAAUAUUGCGCAAUGGGCGAAAGCCUGACGCAGCGACGCCGCGUGGAGGAUGAAGGUCUUUGGAUUGUAAACUUCUGUUAAGCGGGAAGAAAAGCAGUAUGCUAAUAUCAUACUGUUAUGACGGUACCGCUAGAGAAAGCACCGGCUAACUUCGUGCCAGCAGCCGCGGUAAUACGAAGGGUGCAAGCGUUAUUCGAAAUUACUGGGCGUAAAGGGUGCGCAGGCGGUGUAUUAAGUCAACUGUUAAAUACCUCAGCCUAACUGAGGAAAUGCGGUAGAUACUGGUAUACUAGAGGAUGGAAGAGAGAAGUGGAAUUCUUGGAGUAGCGGUAAAAUGCGUAGAUCUCAAGAGGAACACCGAUGGCGAAGGCAGCUUCUUGGUCCAUUUCUGACGCUCAUGCACGAAAGCGUGGGGAG